rnacentral:misc_RNA from 1 species
UUAGGGAUCUCAGUGUCAACUG